rnacentral:ncRNA from 1 species
UCUAGUCAUAUGCUCUGUCUCAAAGAUUAAGCCAUGCAAGUCUAAGUACGAGCUCUCGUACAGUGAAACUGCGAAUGGCUCAUUAAAUCAGUUAUGGUUCAUUUGAUCGUACAGUUUACUUGGAUAACUGUGGUAAUUCUAGAGCUAAUACAUGCGAGAAGCGCCGACCUCGCGGGAGGCGUGCAUUUAUCAGACCAAAAACCGGCCGCGUCUUCGGGCGCGUUCGCCUUGGUGACUCUGGAUAACUUUGCGGAUCGCACGGUCUAGCACCGGCGACGGAUCAUUCAAGUGUCUGCCCUAUCAACUUUCGUCGGUACGGUAUUUGCCUACCGAGGUUCUUACGGGUGACGGGGAAUCAGGGUUCGAUUCCGGAGAGGGAGCCUGAGAAACGGCUACCACAUCCAAGGAAGGCAGCAGGCGCGCAAAUUACCCAUUCCCGACGCGGGGAGGUAGUGACGAAAAAUAACAAUGCAGGACUCGUUCGAGGCCCUGUAAUUGGAAUGAGUACACUUUAAAAGCUUUAACGAGUAUCCAUUGGAGGGCAAGUCUGGUGCCAGCAGCCGCGGUAAUUCCAGCUCCAAAAGUAUAUAUUUAAGUUGUUGCGGUUAAAAAGCUCGUAGUUGGAUUUUGGGCGCAGGCGGCCGGUCCGUCGCAAGGCGUGUACUGGACGUCCUGGCCUUCCCUCCGGUUCUCCGCCGGUGCUCUUGACUGAGUGUCGGCGGCGGCCGGAACGUUUACUUUGAAAAAAUUAGAGUGUUCAAAGCAGGCUCUCGAGCCUGGAUAAUGGUGCAUGGAAUAAUGGAAUAGGACCUCGGUUCUAUUUUGUUGGUUUUCGGAGCGCGAGGUAAUGAUUAAGAGGGACAGACGGGGGCAUUCGUACUGUGCCGUUAGAGGUGAAAUUCUUGGAUCGGCGCAAGACGAACGACUGCGAAAGCAUUUGCCAAGAAUGUUUUCUUUAAUCAAGAGCGAAAGUCAGAGGUUCGAAGACGAUCAGAUACCGUCCUAGUUCUGACUAUAAACGAUGCCAACUAGCGAUCGGGGGGCGUUACAUUGACGACCCCUCCCGGCAGCUUACGGGAAACCAAAGUCUUUGGGUUCCGGGGGAAGUAUGGUUGCAAAGCUGAAACUUAAAGGAAUUGACGGAAGGGCACCACCAGGAGUGGAGCCUGCGGCUUAAUUUGACUCAACACGGGAAAUCUCACCCGGCCCGGACACAGUGAGGAUUGACAGAUUGAGAGCUCUUUCUUGAUUCUGUGGGUGGUGGUGCAUGGCCGUUCUUAGUUGGUGGAGCGAUUUG